rnacentral:rRNA from 1 species
UGGGGAAUAUUGGACGAUGGGCGAAAGCCUGAUCCAGCCAUGCCGCGUGUGUGAAGAAGGUCUUCGGAUUGUAAAGCACUUUAAGUUGGGAGGAAGGGUUGUAGAUUAAUACUCUGCAAUUUUGACGUUACCGACAGAAUAAGCACCGGCUAACUCUGUGCCAGCAGCCGCGGUAAUACAGAGGGUGCAAGCGUUAAUCGGAAUUACUGGGCGUAAAGCGCGCGUAGGUGGUUAGUUAAGUUGGAUGUGAAAUCCCCGGGCUCAACCUGGGAACUGCAUUCAAAACUGACUGACUAGAGUAUGGUAGAGGGUGGUGGAAUUUCCUGUGUAGCGGUGAAAUGCGUAGAUAUAGGAAGGAACACCAGUGGCGAAGGCGACCACCUGGACUGAUACUGACACUGAGGUGCGAAAGCGUGGGGAGCAAACA